rnacentral:rRNA from 1 species
AGCAGCCGCGGUAAUUCCAGCUCCAAUAGCGUAUAUUAAAGUUGUUGCAGUUAAAAAGCUCGUAGUUGAAUUUCGGGAUCAAUACGUCGGUCGUGCUUCGGUACGUACUGGCGUAAUUGAUUUCUCCCUUCUGACGAACCAUGAUGUCAUUAACUUGGUGUCAUGGGAAAUCAGGACUGUUACUUUGAAAAAUUAGAGUGUUUAAAGCAAGCUAACGCUUGAAUACAUUAGCAUGGAAUAAUGAAAUAGGACGUUCGAUCCUAUUUUGUUGGUUUCUAGGAUUGACGUAAUGAUUAAUAGGGAUAGUUGGGGGCAUUAGUAUUCAAUUGUCAGAGGUGAAAUUCUUGGAUUUAUUGGAGACUAACUACUGCGAAAGCAUUUGCCAAGGAUGUUUUCAUUAAUCAAGAACGAAAGUUAGGGGAUCGAAGACGAUCAGAUACCGUCGUAGUC